rnacentral:rRNA from 1 species
UACGGAGGGGGCGAGCGUUGUCCGAAGUUACUGGGCGUAAAGGGCGCGUAGGCGGGAAGCUAAGUCCGCUGUCAAAGCCCGGGGCUCAACCCCGGAAGGUCGGUGGAGACUGGUUUUCUUGAAGCUGCCAGGGGGAGAUGGAAUUACCGGUGUAGCGGUGAAAUGCGUAGAUAUCGGUAGGAACACCAGUGGCGAAGGCGGUCUCCUGGAGCAGACUUGACGCUGAGGCGCGAAAGCUAGGGGAGCAAACGGG